AUGAUAUUAGACCUUCAGCAAAGUGCACAGCUGCAUCAUACAGAAGCUGAGACUCAAACUGACAGGCAAAUAAGCCAGAUCACGGAAGGGGCCUCUGUGUGGCAGCUCUGAGCUACCAAGUGUUGGACAACUAGGCAAAAAGUGCAAUGGAACAGGGCAGAAAAUAACACACUAACUUCAGGCAACUGUUGCUUAUUCAUGGACUGGAAAGAAACCAUUUCUGUAGAUGUCAGCUUCUGUUUGCUGUGAUGCUCCACUCUGAGUGAUGCCACAUUCAGCACUGAGUAGUACUGGCAGAGGAGAGUGGCUUCUCAGAAUGAGGUGUGCAGCUGCAAUUCCAGGUGUGCAGCUGCCAUUCCAUCUCACUGCAGGACUGUGUUUGCUGCUCCACAAGCUGCAGAGCAAGAGAAGCCAACUUGAGGAGCAUGCAUAUUGUGAUACCCUCAGUGGUUUCUUUUACAAUGUGUUCUGCUCCAGCCAGUGAAUUUUGUUUAACUGACCAGUGAAAGAAAAAUUAAAAUGAAAAAGGAAAAUGAAGAAGUUAAUGAUACCAGAUUUCAGCGAAGCAGGAUCAUAUUUUGUGAUAGAACAGCUAAUAGCUGGAGAACUCUGACAUGAAAGUCCCAAGCAGCCCAGCCUUAGCAGGUAGCAAGGAAAGAAUAGAAUGUGUACAGAAAGAAUACAGCUACAACUGAUGCCUGGAAACAUAAGUACAACUGGCUUUUUUUUUUUUUUUUUCCUGAGGUCCUCAAAAUCAAACUCUAUACUAUUUGUGAGAACCUGUUGUCAUCGGGGUUUUUCAGAAUUAUAAAUCAAUGGCAACUGUAAUCUAAUUCCUCAAGUCAAACUAUUUGGUUCAAGUUUGCAAAUGUGAAAUAAGCUUGUUUUCAUUAUUUCAGAUGUCAGAAACAGUUCAAAAUAAAUUAGGAUAUUGAUGAAUAUUUCUGUAUCCUUAUA